GACGAACGCUGGCGGCGUGCUUAACACAUGCAAGUCGAGCGGUAAGGCCCUUUCGGGGGUACACGAGCGGCGAACGGGUGAGUAACACGUGGGUGACCUGCCCUUAGCUCUGGGAUAAGCCUGGGAAACUGGGUCUAAUACCGGAUAUGACUCCAUGACGCAUGUUGUGGGGUGGAAAGCCUUGUGCGGCUAGGGAUGGGCCCGCGGCCUAUCAGCUUGUUGGUGGGGUAACGCCUACCAAGGCAACGACGGAUAGCUGGUCUGAGAGGACGAUCAGCCACACUGGGACUGAGACACGGCCCAGACUCCUACGGGAGGCAGCAGUGGGGAAUCUUGCGCAAUGGGGGAAACCCUGACGCAGCGACGCCGCGUGCGGGAUGAAGGCC
rnacentral:rRNA from 1 species